rnacentral:lncRNA from 1 species
UUAUAUAUUAUUACGAAAUUUUCAUUAUAUUAUAUUUUAUUCAAAUUUUGUUUCAAAAUAAAUUAAUUAAAUAAAAUAAUUAAAGAGAGAAAAAACAAAAAUCAUGGUACCAAAAAAACCUUUCUUUCUCGACGAAGGCGACUUUGGCGGCGACUUUGGCGGCGACUUCGGUGGCGAUUGGAGCAACUUUCAUGUCCGACCAGAUUUCGUCACGAUUCCGAUGGCGAGUGGGGCGUUUUCGGUAAGACUCUUCAUACUCUGCCUUCAUUUAUACUUUCUCCUUUUUUCCAUGAAGUUUCUAGGCGUUUUAAUCUCAACAACUUUGAGUUCUGGCGAGGUAAAGAGAGCUUCUUCUUGGUCUCGACACAGAGCUUCGUGAACGGCGUUGGUGUAUAUCACGACAAAAAUCAUCGUCGUUGAACUUGAUUUUUCUGAAGUGAUAAACCAGAUCUCAUAUGAGUCUACCAUACCAGAUCUAUUGACUUUAUCCAUCAGACUAUUGUCUACCGGUGAAGAAAGUUAAUAAGGCUACCAUCCUUACAAAUACUCUACUAAUCUGAACAAUAUUUUUUCAAAUAGAGGUUAUCUGAGUAAGUACCAAAAACAAAUAUAAGUCUACCAUGAUUGUAUAUCAGAAAUAUUAAAUCUACCAAGAAUUAAUAAAUCUACCAUACUUGUAAUUAAACCUACCACAUUAUUUACUGAAUUUCAAUGGUUUUAAAUCUACCAUCAAUAGUAAUAAAUCUAUCAAAUUCAAUAAAUGUACCAUAAAUAGUAAUAAAUCUACUAACUUAAACAAGUCUAUCGUAUGUCAAAGUAAA